rnacentral:rRNA from 1 species
AUGCAAGUCGAGCGAUGAACUACUUCGGUAGUGAAUUAGCGGCGAACGCGUUAGGAACACGUGAGGAAUCUGCCUUCAACACUGGGAUAACUCCGGGAAACCGGGGCUAAUACCGGAUACGAGCCUUGAUCGCAUGAUCGAGGCUGGAAAGUUUUUCGGUUGAAGAUGACCUCGCGGCCUAUCAGCUUGUUGGUGAGGUAAUGGCUCACCAAGGCGACGACGGGUAGCCGGCCUGAGAGGGCGACCGGCCACACUGGGACUGAGACACGGCCCAGACUCCUACGGGAGGCAGCAGUGGGGAAUAUUGGGCAAUGGAGGAAACUCUGACCCAGCGACGCCGCGUGCGGGAUGAAGGCCUUCGGGUUGUAAACCGCUUUCAGUAGGGAAGAAGCGAAAGUGACGGUACCUACAGAAGAAGCACCGGCUAACUAUGUGCCAGCAGCCGCGGUAAUACAUAGGGUGCAAGCGUUGUCCGGAAUUAUUGGGCGUAAAGAGCUCGUAGGUGGUUUGAUACGUCGGGUGUGAAAUUCAGGGGCUCAACCCCUGACCUGCAUUCGAUACGGUCAAGCUAGAGUUUGGUAGGGGAGACUGGAAUUCCUGGUGUAGCGGUGGAAUGCGCAGAUAUCAGGAGGAACACCGAUGGCGAAGGCAGGUCUCUGGGCCAAUACUGACACUGAGGAGCGAAAGCGUGGGGAGCGAACAGGAUUAGAUACCCUGGUAGUCCACGCCGUAAACGGUGGGCGCUAGUUGUGCGAACCUUCCACGGUUUGUGCGACGCAGCUAACGCAUUAAGCGCCCCGCCUGGGGAGUACGAUCGCAAGAUUAAAACUCAAAGGAGUUGACGGGGCCCCGCACAAGCAGCGGAGCAUGCGGCUUAAUUCGACGNCACGCGAAGAACCUUACUAGGGCUUGACAUAUACAGGAAUACGGCAGAAAUGUCGUAGCGGUUAAACGUCUGUAUACAGGUGGCGCAUGGUUGUCGUCAGCUCGUGUCGUGAGAUGUUGGGUUAAG